GGAUGCAAGGGCCAUCUGGCUGCCAUACUUGUCCCUCCAUUGAUCUCUAGGAUUGAUUUGACUGAUCUGAGUGGUUUGAGUGUCCCCUUCUUGCCUUACUGUUUCUUGUGUAUCCCUCCCAAAGCUAUGCUUUCAGUGGAAGGGGAUGGCUUUCCGGAUAGAGGAGGACCAAUCUUCCAUCAAGGGUACACAAGG
rnacentral:sRNA from 1 species